rnacentral:rRNA from 1 species
UGGGGAAUAUUGGACAAUGGGCGAAAGCCUGAUCCAGCCAUGCCGCGUGUGUGAAGAAGGUCUUAGGAUCGUAAAGCACUUUAAGUUGGGAGGAAGGGCAGUAAAUUAAUACUUUGCUGUUUUGACGUUACCGACAGAAUAAGCACCGGCUAACUCUGUGCCAGCAGCCGCGGUAAUACAGAGGGUGCAAGCGUUAAUCGGAAUUACUGGGCGUAAAGCGCGCGUAGGUGGUUCGUUAAGUUGGAUGUGAAAUCCCCGGGCUCAACCUGGGAACUGCAUUCAAAACUGUCGAGCUAGAGUAUGGUAGAGGGUGGUGGAAUUUCCUGUGUAGCGGUGAAAUGCGUAGAUAUAGGAAGGAACACCAGUGGCGAAGGCGACCACCUGGACUGAUACUGACACUGAGUGCGAAAGCGUGGGGAGCAAACAGGAUUAGAUACCCACGUAGUCCCUGAGCGGGCUGGCAAGGCGCAU